GAUGAAGAACGCAGCGAAAUGCGAUAAGUAAUGUGAAUUGCAGAAUUCAGUGAAUCAUCGAAUCUUUGAACGCACCUUGCGCCCCUUGGUAUUCCAUGGGGCAUGCCUGUUCGAGCGUCAUUUGUACCUUCAAGCUCUGCUUGGUGUUGGGUGUUUGUCUCGCCUCUGCGUGUAGACUCGCCUCAAAACAAUUGGCAGCCGGCGUAUUGAUUUCGGAGCGCAGUACAUCUCGCGCUUUGCACUCAUAACGACGACGUCCAAAAGUACAUUUUUACACUCUUGACCUCGGAUCAGGUAGGGAUACCCGCUGAACUUAAGCAUAUCAAUAAGCGGAGGA
rnacentral:misc_RNA from 1 species